ensembl:lncRNA
AUAUUUAUAUAUAUAUAUAUAUAUUUGCUUCUCUCAUAUAUAUAUAUAUUUGUUCAACAUCCACUAUUAAACUAUUAGUUUUUUUACUUUUCUGCAUUGGAAAAAAAUUGGAUUCUUGUAACUGAGUAUUUCAAAGUGCUGUAGCCUGUUUUUUUCACGUAGCAUUUGUUCCAUUAUAGCACAUAUUAACAAACCGCAGAUGAAAUGACAUGAAAUCAGCUGUUAACACUCUGAUGUGUAACCGUCAUCCGUUUGUGUUGCAGCAGCAUCUUAGACCUUCAACAUUGAUUAUUUAUGAACUAUCAAUACUUCAACAAACGGUCCAUCUGUCCAAUCUGCACAGCAUCUGCCACCCGCAGCUUGGUCUCUUUUUUUUAUGAAUAUCAACCCGACCACAUUGUGCACUGCAGUGAAGGCAGCUCUGCAGGUUGUGUGUUUGUGGGGAGGGAGGGGGGCAGCUUGUGCGUGGUGGUGAUGAUGAUGAUGCGUGUGACGCCACGAGCAGGAGCGCAGCAGCAGACAGGACCCGGGCUGAAGCAGCAGCAGCAGCAGCGCCGCCACUAAAUACUAGAAUAUUAUUAUAUUAAUUUUUGCAGGCUAAAUUGUGGUAUAUGUGCAUACAGACCAUAUAGGUCUCCUGUAUUGCUUAUAUACACAUAUAAGCCCUAUGUACAUACAAGAUAUGUCUUAUACAGCUCAUGGCAGGAUCUGGUCAUUAUACAGCUCAUAUCUCACUGUCAUACAUGAUGCCUAGCUCAUAUUAUUAUCAAAGCAUUAAUUAAGAACUAAGUAAAAUAAAAAUUCUGAAAGAACUUAGUAAUUAGUAUCACGUGUAUAUGUGAUGUUAUGGAAUUUAACUAUGGCAAUUAAGUGAGAGGAGAUGGAAAGCUCUGAUGGCUACACAUUUUCAAAUCUUUCUUGUAUGAAGAUAGUGGUAAAGAAGAAAAUGUAUAACAAAAUGGCUCGUGUUUUUAUUUUAUUUUGUCAAUCAAGCCUUUUUUUUGCAAUGUCAAGUCACUUAUUCACAUUACAGCUCAUACACAUCCACACAUUCACAUUAAUGCAGUUUCUAAAUGAAUAUGGCUGAAAGGUCAUUAGUCUAAAUGUAGCAAAAAGUAAUCUUCAUCAUCAUCCCAUAUCUAUCUGAGUAUUUCACUGUGGUUAAUUAAUUUGAACACAAUGUCAACAUUUCCGUACACGGUUUUAACGAACAGACACUUUCAUUUCCAAAAAGAAGAGCAUGCGAGAAGAGAGGAGAUGAGAAAAGAGAGAGAAAGAGAGAGGGAGGCAUAGAGAAAGCGGGAGACAGGAGGGAGGGAUACAGUUGGAGGGAGGUAGGGACACACAGACAGAUAAGGAGACAGAAGCAUUCCCGCUAUGCCACAUAUGUUUACAUGAUACCUGUAGCUGGUAGCUUUGUAGCUAGCUUCUAGCAUGUUACUUUCGUUUACGUCUUCGCUUAGUUCUUUCUGGAACGGAUGCUUCGUCGUUGACGAGGUACCUUUUGUAACGUACUGGAUCCAUUAUUUUUCUUUAUUUGUUGCUUAUUUACCACAGACCGUAAAGCAUACUGGCAAGCAUGUAUCCACUCUGCUCCGAUCGGCCGCUACAGAGUCGCGUGCGAAUGACGUCAUCAACCGCGCUGGGCCACUUGUUGAUGACGUCAUUCCCAUGCAGGCGCGAACGCGCCGAAAGAUAACGGCUGGGACUAAGUAUAAAGUAUUAAAAAUGGAGACAUCAGCGUUCCGCUAUGUCCUACUUGAAUGGACUGAGGGUGAUGAUCGUGGGGCGCAUAGUAUUUUGGCGAUGGACUGUGUCCGGAACUUUUCAGUUCAAGAUUUUUUUGCCUCGACUGAACAAAACGAGAAGCUGGUGGAAUGACGAAAAGGCCGCCAACCCUGGCCGGUUCACCGAGCCAAAAUUGUUGACGUGGCAAGUAAGUUAUGUUACAUUUCUAUUAUGUAUAUCACAUUAAAUUUUGCUCGCACUUAAAGAAGUGUAAAAUGGAUCUUGUUACCUGACUAGCUUAGUAUGCUGGCUGUUAGCUACCUAAUUUGCUAAUGCUACCUAAGUCUCUUAAUUGGGACUAAUGCUACGUUUGGUAACGUUAAACAUGAUUAGACAAACGUUUGCAGUAAACAUUUCAAUUUUAUUGCACCAGAAUUUGAAAAACCUCUCCAAAUUAAACUGCGUGAGAUUGAGGUGGAGAAAGAGGGCACACAAACAAAACGUCCUCACAUCCCAAACUCAAAGUACAUUGAGCAGCAGGGGAAGACUGAGAAGGCUUCAAAAAAAAAGGUAACUGACUGCACCAAUUGGUGCUUUAGUUCAAGUUAUCUCCCCUCUCUUGUUUCUUAAUGUGUAGGCAUGUUUGUAGAUUUGUAAUUGUGUCAUCUUUGAUGAUUUAAUGUGCUUUGACAAGAUAUAUGUGCAAGCUGGUGUAACGCAAGUUAAUAAGAGUUGAGCUAAAAGUCAGUCUGUGUCUUUCUGUCGGUUGACAAUAAAAAGGGAGGGUCUUCCAAAUACAAGCACCAGGAGGGUGAGAAGCAGGAGGAGGGUCAUGACAGACUUUCAAAGAACAAGGUACACUACCAGUCGUCCUGUGUGUGCUGUUACAUUACAAUACAUUCAUGGUUCCUCUGUUUCUCCCUCUCCCUCCAAAGGUUGCCGUGAAAAAGAAAAAUCUUUCUAAAUACGAGGAGGAGGAGGAGGAGGAAGUGGAUGAUGAGGCACGUCAUGACACAAAGAACAAGGUACACUACCAGUCUGCAUCCAGUGUGUGUUAUUACAUUGCAAUACAGUAAAGAUAAGUAAGACUUUUAUAAUAAAGUGCAUUACCAGUAGCUGUUACAAGGUAUGACACCAGCACAGUAGGCAACUUUGUCCUCUCUCUUUCUCUCUCCCUCCCAGCGGGCCAGAGAAGAGGAGGAGCAUAUUGGGGAUGAAGACGACAAAGUACCAGCCUCAAAGAAAAAGGUAGCCUAAAUGAUGACAUCCGGUGUGUGGUGUAGACGUCUGUGCCGUAGACGUCUUGCUACCUUCCUCUUACAUUUCUUAUGACAUCCUCCCAGAAAAUCAGAAUCAACCAUUUACAAAAGUUAAAGUUAUAUAACAAUUAGCUGUUGUUCUUCUCUGUAUUUCUCUUUCUCAUAGAGUGCUGCUGAAUUUAGAAAGCAACUGGACGAACAGAUGUGGGAGAGAAAAAAAAUUGAACAAAUGCAAAGAAAUUUGCAGGAGUUGCGAAAUGAAGUUCAGUCUCUCAAAAGUGAAAAUGCACAUCUGAAAGAUGUUCUGGAAUGGGAAGCAACCUGAAUGGUACAAAAACAUGUUGCUAAUCUCUUCUGUCCUUAAAAAAACAAAAAACAAGUCAGUCAUAUUCUGUGUAAUGAAUCAUGUUUGUGUGCGGGCAUACCAUCGCUUUUGUACUUGCCAUUUUUGUAUUUCCUUGCACCUCAAGAAAACGUAAUGUGUGUGUGUUACGACCCCCUGGAUGGUCUAGGGGUGCGGGGACCAUAAACAUAUAGGCAGAACCUGGUCGGGUGUAAAAGGGUAGUAUUUAUUGGCAACCAGAGGUAAACAGGCACGUAACAACAAACAAAAGGAGGGUGGAUGAGGGUGCUGUGAAAAGACAAACUAAGUAAAAUAAAAGAGAUCCCCAAAAGGAGAACUAUGCCUGAAUAUACGUUAAAACAAACAGUAGGCGCUUACCAUAAAAAACACAAAGAGCACAGCACCCACUACACCUAUGAAGCUAACAAACACAGAACUACGUGUGGUGAAAUCAGUAUAGACUCUGGCCCUAACUCACCCCCUUUUGUCAGCUCCGUGCUGGCAAAAACACACAGAACCAAAGCACAGUUCUCUACCCAGUUGCACUCAAUUACAAACACAGAAGGCACACAAGUCCACUGGCCAAGACAAGCCACCCCGAGCCACUGGUGGGCUCUCCUUAAGAGCUGGAGGUAAGGCUGCGAUGGUGACCUGCCAUUGGGCGCGCUGGGACAGGGUGGACGAAUGGGUGGAGCUGGAGUGAACCUGUGGGGCUCCACCGAAACCAGGAAGUAGGCGGGGCUUCAGUCCACAGGGCCGCACAGCCUACUUGGUACAGACAAGACAGAAAUACAGACCACGGUGACAGCCGUAACAGUGUGUAUAUAUAUAAAAAAAACUCUUGCUUACUCCACCUUCAAAUGCAUAAUGUGUUGAGAAGGGAAAACAAAACUUUUAAGACUUUAUAAGUUCACCACUUUAACCAUAGCCUACUUGUAUCAAUGUUUAUUAGGCAUCAAUGGAGACUGCAUAAGGUAUGGGCACAAUAACAGUGGGUAGACAGGUAAAUAAUAUCAAUAUAUACAGCAAGACAGAUCACACCCAGGCCCCGAAUCCACCUCCUCAAAGUGAUCCACUCGCCACCGAGUCGGAGGUUCCUCUGUCAUCCUCACUGGCACCAUCAAGGUUGUUCCAGUUUUCUCCAUACGUUUGUGUCACUUUUCCAUUUUUUUACAAGAUGUGAAAAUAUAUUUAGGGUGUUAUUGAAUAAACAUUCACAUACAAAUACCAGUCUUUCAUGAGAUUUUAAUGAAAGUUUAUAUUUAUUAUACAAGUAUUUGAUUCUAUAGGUCAGAAUGACUUAUUAUACUCAGUCUUUUGUUCCUGUAGAAACUCCACGUCCGCCGUCGCUGGCAGUUAUCGACCAGCUGCUCAACAAACCCCGUGAGCAGAAAGACACACUGAAGCUUGUGGACCAGGACUACGCUGCUCUAGUUCACAACUCCUGUACAGACCCCAACAGCAUGCUCCACCCAACAACAAAACUACAUAUUCUACAAUAUGUAAAGCACCUCAGCAAAUUGUUGAACACCAGUUCCUCUUUAAACGUCAGUCCAGAAAAACUGUAAGAGAGGCAGAAACUCUCUGACAGAGGUGAGUGAGACCACUAGUGUGCCAGUUGUUACGAUGUCUGUUGCUAUUGUUCACCCACCUCCACCUGUUCAGAUGCUGACACAAGCUUCUAUUGAGAAGAUUGUACUCAACAUCAUGGAAAAGCAGCAGCAACAUAAACAGGAACAACAACAACAACCAAGUUAAUAUAUUUCAAUUACUAAUGUCUACAUGUGUAAUAAGUGAAAAUAAGUGAAUCACUGUAGUGAACAGUAAAAUAAGUUGGUCUGUAAGUACAAUCUAGUGAUAACCAGUAGACAGCAGAUUGGGGUAAACAUUUCCUUUAUUGUUAUUUGAGAAGGAUGAGGUAGGAUGGAGUGGGAGGUGAAGGAAGGUGUUCUUACAGGUGUCCUGUCUCAGGCACGUUGAUGUUGACGUCCCGGAUGGUCUCCUUUUUCUUCUCUUCUCUCUCCUAUUUCUUUGUCUCCUUGUCCUGUAUCUUGCGCCUCAUUUUGUCCAUCUCCGUCUGCCGGUCUUUUUUUUUUUUUUUUUAAGUACAUGCAGAUGUAUUCAAGGACUCUUUUGUCCUCUAAUUCUUGGAUCCUGGGGAUUAAGAUCUGAUGUUCUUUGGGGAUAGUAUCCUCUGUUUGUUGGAUCUUAGAGAUCAGGCACAACUCAGUGAAACCACUGCUUGUAACCAUCUCGUGGUGGGUAUCCUCUAGGCAGGUUGUAAAAAAAAAAUGAAAUGAAAUGUGUGCAAUAGAAAUUAACAGUACAGUUAAUUAAAGCUGACCAAUAAAAAAAUAAAAACUAACAAAACAAUAUUUACUUAAAUGUACAAAAUAAGGCAGAAAUGAGGUAAGGGAAAUGUGCAAACCUGAUUAGGUUGUAAAAAAAAAUAAGCAGCCAGAGAGGGAUCUUUUUUUUUUUUUUAGAUCUUUCUUAUUUAGAUCUCUUUUUUCAGAUCUCUUUCUUUUUUUUUUUUUUAGAUCUUUUUGAGUUUUUUUCAGAAUUUCUUUUUUUUCAAGGUAGAUGGAUGAGGUAGGAUGGAGUUGGAGGUGAAGGAAGGUGUUCUUACAGGUGUCCAGUCUCAGGCACGUUGAUGUUGACGUCCUGGAUGGUCUGCUUUUUCUUCUCUCUUCUAUUUCUUUGUCUCCUUGUCCUGCAUCUUAUGCCUCAUUUUGUCCAUCUCCGUCUGCCGGUCUUUUUUUUUUUUUUUUAAGUACAGGCAGAUGUUUUCAAGGACUGUUUUGUUGUCCUCUAAUUCUUGGAUCCUGGUGAUACGGAUCUGAUGUUCUUUGGGGAUGGUAUUCUUUUUUUCAGAAUUUUUUUUUCAGGGUAGAUGGAUGAGAUAGGAUGGAGUGGGAGGUGAAGGAAGGUGUUCUUACAGGUGUCCAGUCUCAGGCACGUUGAUGUUGACGUCCUGGAUGGUCUGCUUUUUCUUCUCUCUCCUAUUUCUUUGUCUCCUUGUCCUGCAUCUUAUGCCUCAUUUUGUCCAUCUCCGUCUGCCGGUCUUUUUUUUUUUUUUUAAGUACAGGCAGAUGUUUUCAAGGACUGUUUUGUUGUCCUCUAAGUCUUGGAUCCUGGCGAUAAGGAUCUGAUGUUCUUUGGGGAUGGUAUUCUUUUUUUCAGAAUUGUUUUUUUUUCAGGGUAGAUGGAUGAGAUAGGAUGGAGUGGGAGGUGAAGGAAGGUGUUCUUACAGGUGUCCAGUCUCAGGCACGUUGAUGUUGACGUCCUGGAUGGUCUGCUUUUUCUUCUCUCUCCUAUUUCUUUAUCUCCUUGUCCUGCAUCUUAUGCCUCAUUUUGUCCAUCUCCGUCUGCCGGUCUUUUUUUUUUUUUUUUUAAGUACAUGCAGAUGUUUUCAAGGACUGUUUUGUUGUCCUCUAAUUCUUGGAUCCUGGUGAUAAGGAUCUGAUGUUCUUUGGGGAUGGUAUCCUCCGUUUGUUGGAUCUUAGCGAUCAGGCACAACUCAGUGAAACCACUGCUUGUGACCAUCUCGUGGUGGGUAUCCUCUCGGCAGGUUGUCAGAGAAAAAUGAAAUGAAAUGUGUGCAAUAUAAAUUAACAGUACAGUUAAUCAAAGCCGCCCAAUUAAAAAAUAAAAAAUAACAAAACAAUAUUUAAAUAAAUGUACAUGAAAUAAAAAUAAGGCAGAAAUGAGGUAAGGGAAAUGUGCAAACCUGAUUAGGUUGUAAAAAAAAUAAGCAGCCAGAGAAUCCCUCUGGGAUCUUUUUUUUUUUUUAGAUCUUUCUUAUUUAGAUCUCUUUUUUUUCAGAUCUCUUUUUUUUUUUUUUUUUUUUUAGAUCUUUUUUUUUUUUUUUUAGAUUUUUUUUUUUCAGGGUAGAUAGAUGAGGUAGGAUGGAGUGGGAGGUGAAGGAAGGUGUUCUUACAGGUGUCCAGUCUCAGGCACGUUGAUGUUGACGUCCUGGAUGGUCUGCUUUUUCUUCUCUCUACUAUUUCUUUAUCUCCUUGUCCUGCAUCUUAUGCCUCAUUUUGUCCAUCUCCGUCUGCCGGUCUUUUUUUUUUUUUUUUAAGAACAUGCAGAUGUUUUCAAGGACUGUUUUGUUGUCCUCUAAUUCUUAGCGAUCAGGCACAACUCAGUGAAACCACUGCUUGUGACCAUCUCGUGGUGGGUAUUCUCUCGGCAGGUUGUAAAAAAAAAAGAAAUGAAAUGUGUGCAAUAUAAAUUAACAGUACAGUUAAUUAAAGCCGACCAAUUAAAAAAUAAAAAAUAACAAAACAAUAUUUAAAUAAAUGUACAUGAAAUAAAAAUAAGGCAGAAAUGAGGUAAGGGAAAUGUGCAAACCUGAUUAGGUUGUAAAAAAAAUAAGCAGCCAGAGAAUCCCUCUGGGAUCUUUUUUUUUUUUUAGAUCUUUCUUAUUUAGAUCUCUUUUUUUUCAGAUCUCUUUUUUUUUUUUUUUUAGAUUUUUUUUUUUCAGGGUAGAUAGAUGAGGUAGGAUGGAGUGGGAGGUGAAGGAAGGUGUUCUUACAGGUGUCCAGUCUCAGGCACGUUGAUGUUGACGUCCUGGAUGGUCUGCUUUUUCUUCUCUCUCCUAUUUCUUUAUCUCCUUGUCCUGCAUCUUAUGCCUCAUUUUGUCCAUCUCCGUCUGCCGGUC